GCGGAUGAUUCGGGAGGAUAUGGCUUACAAACGGGAUGCUGGGAAUUUGGCUGAGAUGAAGACGCAUGGAACAGGGGAGCUGGAACGUAUGGAUGAAGGAAGUUUGGAAGAGAUGAAGCUGGGACGGCUGGCAGUUGGGAAGAAAUCUGGGAAAUUCGGAAGCAGGGGAGAAAGUUUGAUCCGAAGAUCAUGGGAUCUAGCUUCGGAAUGAACACCUAAACCUUAUCCUAUGGAUGAUAGGAUCAAUCCGGAAUGAGAAGAAGCUCGGGGGUGGCUGCAUUCGGCUGAGAAGGAGAUCGGAUGAACUCGAGGCUGGGUACGAUGUGGAUGAGGGAUAAUGUGAAUGGCUAGCUUGAUGGAACCGUGGAGCUCGGGAUGAAGCUGGAUGUGAUCCAUGAUGCUGGUGAUGCGGCUUCAAUGUGGAGGAUCUUAGCUCUGUUCCGAAACAGAGCCCUGUUUGUUGGACCCGGAAGGAACGGGAAGAUAUGGAAGCCGAUCUUGGACGGGAGGAAUCCGGAAGAAGAUCUGGGAGGAGAUCAAAUCUGGAUGAUGGUUUGAUGCCACUCGGAAGAAGCUGAAACUCUUAGAUUUGCUGGGAUUCUGGCGGAAGAAGAAGAUGUCGCAUGGGAUGAGCGUGGGAUUGUUGCGGAUGCAGGGGAUUUGAGCUCAUCCGUGGAUGCUGGAAUAAGCUGGUGGUUGCUGGUUCUCAUCCGGAAGGGAAGUUGGCUUGGUUCGGGAGGAAUCAGACGUUGGCAUGCAUCGCGGGAAGCAUGAGAAUUCGGAUGGAUAUAGAUCAUGAACGGAAGCACAAAGGAAGCGGAUGAGAUAGGUUUGGAUGCUGGGAAGGAGUUGGAUUCCUGGGCUUUAUCCCAUGGAGGGGAUCUAGCGGGAGAAAUGAAGGAGUGUGGGACGUUGGGAUCAAUCCCGAAGAAGAUUGAUUUGAUUCUAUCCGGUGGAUCAUGCGGAGGGCG
rnacentral:lncRNA from 1 species